rnacentral:lncRNA from 1 species
AGUAGAAAAUCAGACUUUUUAUUUUUUUAUUGAGGUUUUGAUUAAAUAUAUAUAUAUAAACAACAUCAAAUCUGAGGAUGACCGGACGAACAAAUAGUUAAAGUGCUAUUCUAUAUACAUUCUCACACUUCUCUCCUUUUUAGCAUGGUCAUCUAGUGACUACAGGUGACAUGCCCUGUGAACAGAGGCAUCAAACAACACCCUGUGAGCAGAGGCAUCACACAACACCCUGUCAACAGAGGCGUCACACACAACACAAUGUGAACAGAGGCAUCACACACACAACACCCUGUGAACAGAGGCAUCACACACAACACCCUGUGAACAGAGGCAUCACACAACACCCUGUGAGCAGAGGCAUCAAACACAACACCCUGUGAACAGAGGCAUCACACACAACACCCUGUGAACAGUGGCAUCACACACAACACCCUGUGAACAGAGGCAUCACACACAACACCCUGUGAACAGAGGCAUCACACAACACCCUGUGAACAGAGGCAUCAAACACAACACCCUGUGAACAGAGGCAUCACACACAACACCCUGUGACCAGAGGCAUCGCACACAACACCCUGUGAACAGAGGCAUCACACACAACACCCUGUGAGCAGUGGCAUCACACACAACACCCUGUGAACAGAGGCAUCGCACAACAACCUGUGAGCAGAGGCAUCACACAACACCCUGUGAACAGAGGCAUUACACACAAAACACCCUGUGAACAGAGGCAUCACACAACUCCCUGUGAACAGAGGCAUCACACACAACACCCUGUGAACAGAGUCAUCACACAGCACCCUGUGAACAGAGGCAUCACACAACACCCUGUGAGCAGAGGAAUCAAACACAACACCCUGUAAGCAGAGGCAUCACACAACACCCUGUGAACAGAGGCAUCACACACAACACCCUGUGAACAAAGGCAUCACACACAACACCCUGUGAACAGAGGCAUCACACAACACCCUGUGAACAGAGGCAUCACACACAACACCCUGUGAACAGAGGCAUCACACAACACCCUGUGAACAGAGGCAUCACACAACACCCUGUGAGCAGAGGCAUCACACACAACACCCUGUGAACAGAGGCAUCAAACACAACACCCUGUGAACAGAGGCAUCACACACAACACCCUGUGAACAGAGGCAUCACACACAACACCCUGUGAACAGAGGCAUCACACACAACACCCUGUGAACAGAGGCAUCACACAACACCCUGUGAGCAGAGGCAUCACACAACACCCUGUGACCAGAGGCAUCACACAACACCCUGUGAACAGAGUCAUCACACAACACCCUGUGAACAGAGGCAUCACACAACACCCUGUGAGCAGAGGCAUCACACACAACACCCUGUGAACAGAGUAAUCACACAACACCCUGUGAACAGAGGCAUCACACACAACACCCUGUGAACAGAGGCAUCACACAACACCCUGUGAACAGAGGCAUCACACACAACACCCUGUGAACAGAGGCAUCACACAACACCCUGUGAACAGAGGCAUCACACACAACACCCUGUGAACAGAGGCAUCACACACAACACCCUGUGAACAGAGGCAUCACACACAACACCCUGUGAACAGAGGCAUCAAACACAACACC